UGUGAUGACGUGAGCCAGUUCUUUCAGUACGUUGGGAUGAAUCCCAUUGGGGCCCACAGACUUCUUAUGUCUUACAUUUACCCUGUCAUUUGGCAGUAAAGGACAAAAAUUGUUGGUCUUUUUUUCAGGUUACAAGUAUCAUUCAGACACCAGUUUUCUGAGAUGGAAAAGACCAAUGAUGAAAAGACCACUGAUGUUUCUCCACUCUUUUCAGAAGAUAUCUGCAAGUUAUCUUUCCUGACUUGCAGAGUUUGGGCGUUGCAGAGCACCAUAGGUGAAGGCAGCACUGAGAAAACAUGCACAUGCACAUAG
rnacentral:lncRNA from 1 species